rnacentral:rRNA from 1 species
GCUUGAAAAUUAAAGAAGAUGGCGGUAUUUUAGUCUAUUCAGAGGAACCUGUCCUGUAAUCGAUGAUCCCCGAUUUAUUAUACUUAUUUUAUAAGUUUGCAUAUCGCUGUAGAUGGAAUGUCCUUUAAGGGUUUAUAAACAUUCAAGAGGUUUUUAUUUGUGAAAGUAAAUCAAGUCAAGAUGUAGCUGAUAAAUAAGAAGAGAUGGGUUACAAUAAAUUUAUUUAUAACGGAUUAAUAUAUGAAAUUUAUUAUAAAGGUGGAUUUGAAGGUAAUUUUAUAUAAAUUUAUAAAAUGAUUCUAGCUCUAAAAUAUGUACAC